rnacentral:rRNA from 1 species
AUUGAACGCUGGCGGCAGGCCUAACACAUGCAAGUCGAACGAAGUCUUCGGACUUAGUGGCGGACGGGUGAGUAACACGUGGGAACGUGCCUUUAGGUUCGGAAUAACUCAGGGAAACUUGUGCUAAUACCGAAUGUGCCCUUCGGGGGAAAGAUUUAUCGCCUUUAGAGCGGCCCGCGUCUGAUUAGCUAGUUGGCGAGGUAAAGGCUCACCAAGGCGACGAUCAGUAGCUGGUCUGAGAGGAUGAUCAGCCACAUUGGGACUGAGACACGGCCCAAACUCCUACGGGAGGCAGCAGUGGGGAAUCUUGCGCAAUGGGCGAAAGCCUAACGCAGCCAUGCCGCGUGAAUGAUGAAGGUCUUAGGAUUGUAAAAUUCUUUCACCGGGGACGAUAAUGACGGUACCCGGAGAAGAAGCCCCGGCUAACUUCGUGCCAGCCGCCGCCGUAACAC